rnacentral:rRNA from 1 species
ACACGACUACAUUAGAUACCCGUGUAGUCCUAGGCGUAAAUGAUGCGAGUUAAGUGUGGGGGUCCUUUGAGGGCGCCCAGUGCCGGAGAGAAGUUGUUAAGCCUGCUGCUUGGGGAGUACGUCCGCAAGGAUGAAACUUAAAGGAAUUGGCGGGGGAGCACCGCAACGGGAGGAGCGUGCGGUUCAAUUGGAUUCAACGCCGGACAACUCACCAGGAGCGACGGUUACAUGAAGGCCAGGCUGAUGACCUUGCCUGAUUUUCCG